CCAUAUGUUGUGUGUCGCGGUCCCGCGCUAUCAAUAUCGUGGGCUAAGAGGGAAGCCGGUGUAAUUCCGACGCUGCCCCCGCAACUGUAAACGGCGAGCCAACUGCUAGCAUAACCACUGAAACCCGCGGGUUUUGGGAAGGUGGCAGUGGGCGUCGAGCCGUGAGUCAGGAGACCUGCCGCGACGGCAGAAAUUAU
rnacentral:ncRNA from 2 species